UUAAGCGACUAAGCGUACACGGUGGAUGCCCUGGCAGUCAGAGGCGAUGAAGGACGUGCUAAUCUGCGAAAAGCGUCGGUAAGGUGAUAUGAACCGUUAUAACCGGCGAUGUCCGAAUGGGGAAACCCAGUGUGAUUCGUCACACUAUCGUUAACUGAAUACAUAGGUUAACGAGGCGAACCGGGGGAACUGAAACAUCUAAGUACCCCGAGGAAAAGAAAUCAACCGAGAUUCCCCCAGUAGCGGCGAGCGAACGGGGAGCAGCCCAGAGUCUGAAUCAGCUUGUGUGUUAGUGGAACGGUCUGGAAAGUCCGACGGUACAGGGUGAUAGUCCCGUACACCAAAAUGCACAGGCUGUGAACUCGAAGAGUAGGGCGGGACACGUGGUAUCCUGUCUGAAUAUGGGGGGACCAUCCUCCAAGGCUAAAUACUCCUGACUGACCGAUAGUGAACCAGUACCGUGAGGGAAAGGCGAAAAGAACCCCGGCGAGGGGAGUGAAAAAGAACCUGAAACCGUGUACGUACAAGCAGUGGGAGCACCUUCGGGUGUGACUGCGUACCUUUUGUAUAAUGGGUCAGCGACUUAUAUUCUGUAGCAAGGUUAACCGUAUAGGGGAGCCGCAGGGAAACCGAGUCUUAACUGGGCGUUAAGUUGCAGGGUAUAGACCCGAAACCCGGUGAUCUAGCCAUGGGCAGGUUGAAGGUUGGGUAACACUAACUGGAGGACCGAACCGACUAAUGUUGAAAAAUUAGCGGAUGACUUGUGGCUGGGGGUGAAAGGCCAAUCAAACCGGGAGAUAGCUGGUUCUCCCCGAAAGCUAUUUAGGUAGCGCCUCGUGAACUCAUCUUCGGGGGUAGAGCACUGUUUCGGCUAGGGGGUCAUCCCGACUUACCAACCCGAUGCAAACUACGAAUACCGAAGAAUGUUAUCACGGGAGACACACGGCGGGUGCUAACGUCCGUCGUGAAGAGGGAAACAACCCAGACCGCCAGCUAAGGUCCCAAAGUCAUGGUUAAGUGGGAAACGAUGUGGGAAGGCACAGACAGCCAGGAUGUUGGCUUAGAAGCAGCCAUCAUUUAAAGAAAGCGUAAUAGCUCACUGGUCGAGUCGGCCUGCGCGGAAGAUGUAACGGGGCUAAACCAUGCACCGAAGCUGCGGCAGCGACACUAUGUGUUGUUGGGUAGGGGAGCGUUCUGUAAGCCUGCGAAGGUGACCUGUGAGGGUUGCUGGAGGUAUCAGAAGUGCGAAUGCUGACAUAAGUAACGAUAAAGCGGGUGAAAAGCCCGCUCGCCGGAAGACCAAGGGUUCCUGUCCAACGUUAAUCGGGGCAGGGUGAGUCGACCCCUAAGGCGAGGCCGAAAGGCGUAGUCGAUGGGAAACAGGUUAAUAUUCCUGUACUUGGUGUUACUGCGAAGGGGGGACGGAGAAGGCUAUGUUAGCCGGGCGACGGUUGUCCCGGUUUAAGCAUGUAGGCUGAUUGUCCAGGCAAAUCCGGAUAAUCAAGGCUGAGGUGUGAUGACGAGGCACUACGGUGCUGAAGUAACAAAUGCCCUGCUUCCAGGAAAAGCCUCUAAGCAUCAGGUAACAUUAAAUCGUACCCCAAACCGACACAGGUGGUCAGGUAGAGAAUACCAAGGCGCUUGAGAGAACUCGGGUGAAGGAACUAGGCAAAAUGGUGCCGUAACUUCGGGAGAAGGCACGCUGGUGUGUAGGUGAAGUCCCUGCGGAUGGAGCUGAGACCAGUCGAAGAUACCAGCUGGCUGCAACUGUUUAUUAAAAACACAGCACUGUGCAAACACGAAAGUGGACGUAUACGGUGUGACGCCUGCCCGGUGCCGGAAGGUUAAUUGAUGGGGUUAUCCGUAAGGAGAAGCUCUUGAUCGAAGCCCCGGUAAACGGCGGCCGUAACUAUAACGGUCCUAAGGUAGCGAAAUUCCUUGUCGGGUAAGUUCCGACCUGCACGAAUGGCGUAAUGAUGGCCAGGCUGUCUCCACCCGAGACUCAGUGAAAUUGAACUCGCUGUGAAGAUGCAGUGUACCCGCGGCAAGACGGAAAGACCCCGUGAACCUUUACUAUAGCUUGACACUGAACAUUGAGCCUUGAUGUGUAGGAUAGGUGGGAGGCUUUGAAGCGUGGACGCCAGUCUGCGUGGAGCCAACCUUGAAAUACCACCCUUUAAUGUUUGAUGUUCUAACGUUGGCCCCUGACCGGGGUUGCGGACAGUGUCUGGUGGGUAGUUUGACUGGGGCGGUCUCCUCCCAAAGCGUAACGGAGGAGCACGAAGGUUAGCUAAUCCUGGUCGGACAUCAGGAGGUUAGUGCAAUGGCAUAAGCUAGCUUGACUGCGAGCGUGACGGCGCGAGCAGGUGCGAAAGCAGGUCAUAGUGAUCCGGUGGUUCUGAAUGGAAGGGCCAUCGCUCAACGGAUAAAAGGUACUCCGGGGAUAACAGGCUGAUACCGCCCAAGAGUUCAUAUCGACGGCGGUGUUUGGCACCUCGAUGUCGGCUCAUCACAUCCUGGGGCUGAAGUAGGUCCCAAGGGUAUGGCUGUUCGCCAUUUAAAGUGGUACGCGAGCUGGGUUUAGAACGUCGUGAGACAGUUCGGUCCCUAUCUGCCGUGGGCGCUGGAGAAUUGAGGGGGGCUGCUCCUAGUACGAGAGGACCGGAGUGGACGCAUCACUGGUGUUCGGGUUGUCAUGCCAAUGGCACUGCCCGGUAGCUAAAUGCGGAAGAGAUAAGUGCUGAAAGCAUCUAAGCACGAAACUUGCCCCGAGAUGAGUUCUCCCUGAGACUUUAAGUCUCCUGAAGGAACGUUGAAGACGACGACGUUGAUAGGCCGGGUGUGUAAGCGCAGCGAUGCGUUGAGCUAACCGGUACUAAUGAACCGUGAGGCUUAACCUU
rnacentral:rRNA from 1 species